UACGAAGGGGGCGAGCGUUGUUCGGAUUUACUGGGCGUAAAGGGUGCGUAGGCGGCCGUGCAAGUCUGGCGUGAAAGCCCCGGGCUCAGCCCGGGAAGUGCGCUCGAAACUGCGCGGCUCGAGUGCCGGAGGGGAGAGUGGAAUUCCUGGUGUAGCGGUGAAAUGCGUAGAUAUCAGGAGGAAUACCGGUGGCGAAAGCGACUCUCUGGACGGCAACUGACGCUGAGGCACGAAAGCGUGGGGAGCAAACAGG
rnacentral:rRNA from 1 species